rnacentral:rRNA from 1 species
GACGAACGCUGGCGGCGUGCCUAAUACAUGCAAGUAGAACGCUGAAGGAGGAGCUUGCUCUUCUGGAUGAGUUGCGAACGGGUGAGUAACGCGUAGGUAACCUGCCUGGUAGCGGGGGAUAACUAUUGGAAACGAUAGCUAAUACCGCAUAACAGUAGAUGUUGCAUGACAUUUACUUAAAAGGUGCAAUUGCAUCACUACCAGAUGGACCUGCGUUGUAUUAGCUAGUUGGUGGGGUAACGGCUCACCAAGGCGACGAUACAUAGCCGACCUGAGAGGGUGAUCGGCCACACUGGGACUGAGACACGGCCCAGACGCCUACGGGAGGCAGCAGUAGGGAAUCUUCGGCAAUGGACGGAAGUCUGACCGAGCAACGCCGCGUGAGGUAAGAAGGGUUUCGGAGCGUAAAGCUCUGUUGUAAGAGAAGAACGAGUGUGAGAGUGGAAAGUUCACACUGUGACGGUAUCUUACCAGAAAGGGACGGCUAACUACGUG